AUCCCUGGCGCUGCUUUCUGUCGCCUCCACACGGAUAUUCCCGUUCGGUUCUGUCGGGGCUCUGUCGCCUCCACACGGAUACUCCCGUUCGGUUCUGUCGGGGCUCUGUCGCCUCCACACGGAUACUCCCGUUCGGUUCUGUCGGGGCUCUGUCGCGGACGGCAACUAUGGCUGAUGCGGGAGAAGCCGGCGAAGAUGAAAUCCAGUUCUUACGAACCUGUAAUGGACCCUCUCACCUCCUUCUACAGUGUAAUGGACCCUCUCAUCUCCUUCUACAGUUGUAAUGGACCCUCUCAUCUCCUUCUACAGUGUAAUGGACCCUCUCACCUCCUUCUACAGUGUAAUGGACCCUCUCAUCUCCUUCUACAGUUGUAAUGGACCCUCUCAUCUCCUUCUACAGUGUAAUGGACCCUCUCAUCUCCUUCUACAGUGUAAUGGACCCUCUCAUCUCCUUCUACAGUGUAAUGGACCCUCUCAUCUCCUUCUACAGUGUAAUGGACCCUCUCAUCUCCUUCUGCAGUUGUAAUGGACCCUCUCAUCUCCUUCUACAGUGUAAUACACCCUCUCAUCUCCUUCUACAGUGUAAUGGACCCUCUCAUCUCCUUCUUCAGUGUGGUAGACUCUCUUGUAAGCACCAAUUCAUGAGUAUCCUGAAGGUAUGCUGAACAGGAUGGUAGUGGGAUGCACCAGAGCAGGGAAGAUGUUGGAAUUAUACUGAAGUAUGCUGUAUUUUAGAAGACAGCCUUGUAUUGUAGAUAUGUAUUUAUUAUCGGUGUAAUGUAGUGUCUGUAUUGUAGAUAUGUAGUUAUUAUAGGUGGAAUGUAGUGUCUGUAUUGUUGAUAUGUAUUUAUUAUAGGUGGAAUGUAGUGUCUGUAUUGUUGAUAUGUAUUUAUUAUAGGUGGAAUGUAGUGUCUGUAUUGUAGAUAUGUAUUUAUUAUAGGUGGAAUGUAGUGUCUGUAUUGUAGAUAUGUAUUUAUUAUAGGUGGAAUGUAGUGUCUGUAUUGUAGAUAUGUAUUUAUUAUAGGUGGAAUGUAGUGUCUGUAUUGUAGAUAUAUAUUUAUUAUAGGUGGAAUGUAGUGUCUGUAGACACGUGAGACACUUGCGUCUCUAAGAAUCAUAUAUAUAUAUAUGUAUAUGUUUUUGUAACCUUUAUUUAACCAGACAAGUCAGUUAAUAACAUAAUCUUAUUUACAAUGACUUCCUACCCUGACCGACGCCGGGCCAAUUAUGCGCCGCCCUAUGGGACUCCCAAUCACGGCCGGUUGUGAUACAGCCCGGGAUCGAACCCGGGUCUGUAGUGACGCCUCUAACACUGCGAUGCAGUGCCUUAGACCGCUGCGCCACUCUAGGAAUAGUGCCGUAAUGUCGGUUAGCCAUGAAAACAUUUGGGGAGCGUGCGACUUUCUUUCUAAAUGGAAGCAUAUGGUCACUAUUUCAGCUGAUCAGCGUCCCACUUACCUCAAAACCAUCAUGCGACGUCCCCUUGACCUUCAUGUGAUGUCCCCUUGACCUUCAUGUGACGUCCCCUUGUUGUCGUUGAAUGUCUCACUCAUAAC
rnacentral:lncRNA from 1 species